rnacentral:miRNA from 1 species
UUCCUUCCAGUCAUCGAGACCAUUGAUGACCGGAAGGGAUUCCUUCCGGUCAUCGGGACCAUACAAUCUCGAUGGCCAGAAGGGAUUCCUUCCGGUCAUUGAGACUGUACAGUCUUGAUGACCGGAGGGAA